rnacentral:rRNA from 1 species
AUUGAACGCUGGCGGCAUGCUUUACACAUGCAAGUCGGACGAGUGGCGAACGGGUGAGUAAUAUAUCGGAACGUACCGAGUAAUGGGGGAUAACUAAUCGAAAGAAUAGCUAAUACCGCAUAGUAUUCGAGCGGCCGAUAUCUGAUUAGCUAGUUGGUGGGGUAAAGGCCUACCAAGGCGACGAUCAGUAGCGGGUCUGAGAGGAGGAGCAGACACACGGGGACUGAGACACGGCCCAGACUCCUACGGGAGGCAGCAGUGGGGAAUUUUGGACAAUGGGCGCAAGCCUGAUCCAGCCAUGCCGCGUGUGUGAAGAAGGCCUUCGGGUUGUAAAGGACUUUUGUCAGGGAAGCGGUACCUGAAGAAUAAGCACCGGCUAACUACGUGCCAGCCGCCGCGGUAAUUC